AAACAUUCAGGACGGUAAAAUGCAGAACGCAAAUAGGAUUCACAGAAAAUGAUGGGCGCCCUGCUGUCAUCUGACCCAGCUCAGGCCGCCACUGUUGUGGAUGCCGGUGACCGCAAAACAUGGGAAGAGUGCAAGAAGAUACUCACUUCACUGAAAUUAUCCAGUGAAGACGCCAAGAAGAUGCUGAAGAAGGCGUUGGGAUGGAUCCAUUGGCCGUACUGGACCGAGGAGAGAAAGAAGGAGGUUCCGAGUACCGAGGUGGUAAAUGGAGUGCUGGACUACAUCAGGGCCCUCGGACUAUCUGACGACGAUCUUUACAAGCUGUUCAAGAAAUUCCCAGAGGCUCUUCGAUGCGAUCUUGAGAGCAAGGUGAAGCUGAAUGUCGGCAAGCUGGACAGCGACGGGGGGAUAAACGGGAAGACUCUCCAGAGUGUUCUUUUACGGAAUCCAAAGGUUUUGGGAUACAAUGUGGAUUGUAGAGGGGAUUGUGCGGCGCAGUGCACCGGCUUCUUGGUUAGGUUUUAG
rnacentral:rRNA from 1 species